UACGUAGGCAGCGAGCGUUGUUCGGAGUUACUGGGCGUAAAGAGUGCGCAGGCGGUUUUCUAAGUUUGGUGUGAAAUCUCCCGGCUUAACUGGGAGGGUGCGCCGAAAACUGGAAGGCUUGAGUAUGGGAGAGGUAAGCGGAAUUCCUGGUGUAGCGGUGAAAUGCGUAGAUAUCAGGAGGAACACCUGCGGUGUAGACGGCUUACUGGACCAUAACUGACGCUGAGGCACGAAAGCGUGGGUAGCAAACAGG
rnacentral:rRNA from 1 species